AAAAGCAAAAAAUUGUCUCACAAAAUAAAAUACUUUUGGUGCUUCGGCUAACUGCAAAAAUUAUAUUGUCCCAUACUUGUUCUUUUUCCUAAUACUCAUACUUGUUCUAAUAUUAAUUCUUGCCACAAUAUCAAUCAUCUUUAUGUAACUAGUAUACCACAUCAGUGCCUUACUUGGAAAGUUUUACAAAGCCUCCCCUAGAUUGACUGAAUGCCUAUAUUCAUUUAUCAAGUUAAUUAUCUUUCUCAUAGAUAGAUGAUGCACAUAUAGAUUGUUCCCAGGACAAACUAUGAGUGCAUGUUUCUGAGCUAAGCUACAGCCUACAAAUUUUGACCUACCCCAAAUGAUCUUUCAAUAACCAAACAGCCCCUUCAGCUGCACGCUCCGCAGCUUCUUUCUUUUUACCAGCUGGUUUGCCGAUUGCUUCAAUGAAACAAUUUUCCAAACUAUCAGGCUUCACGAUCACCUUAUAAGUAAACCUGUAAGUGUCGAUGAUAGUUAGCGAUAGUGAUAUUAAAAAAGAGAUUUUUAUGAAGAUUUCUCAGGCAGUUCGCAAGGAGAAACAUGUGCGGUUUUUAGACACCAGUGUUCUCUAUAUGGUAGAAAAGCUUCAAGAGACUGUCGAUCAAAGACUAUACAGCCUGAAACAUAUGAUUCUUGCUUUUCUUUGUAAAGUGUAAAAGCAAUGAUUAGUGUUCUGCAACAUAGCUCUAGAAGUUUUGACUAAAGAAUCAUAGUUAGCAAGUAACUAUCUUUUUUUAAUAAAAAAAACUAUAAUCUUAGACAUAACUA
rnacentral:lncRNA from 1 species